UACGAAGGGGGCUAGCGUUGUUCGGAAUUACUGGGCGUAAAGCGCACGUAGGCGGAUAUUUAAGUCAGGGGUGAAAUCCCAGAGCUCAACUCUGGAGCUGCCUUUGAUACUGGGUAUCUUGAGUAUGGAAGAGGUAAGUGGAAUUGCGAGUGUAGAGGUGAAAUUCGUAGAUAUUCGCAGGAACACCAGUGGCGAAGGGCGGCUUACUGGUCCAUACUGACGCUGAGGUGCGGAAAGCGUGGGGAGCAA
rnacentral:rRNA from 1 species